AUGUAUUGCAUGCAGAAUAUGUUGAUCAUUUGUUUGUUUUGUAUUAUGAUGAUGUGGUGCAGGAUGACACUUGUUGCAUUGCAGGUUCUAACAAAAGUUUGCAUGCAGAAUGUAUUCACGAUUUUCAUCGCAAAUUUGGUCAUUUGCAUUUUGAGGCAGUAUCUAAAAUGCCUGCCUUGGUUGAAGGUAUGACUAUUAAACCCUGCAGGUACCACAUGAAGUGCAAAGCAUGCGCAGCAAACAAGGUGAAAAUGGCUGCGAAAGGUAAGGUGUCUAGUAGGACAGCUACAGAACCAUACCAGGUUGUUCAUGCUGAUUUGGUUGGUCCACUAUCGCCCUCUUUGGGUGGAAAUAGGUACUUCAUGGUUCUCAUUGAUGCAUUUUCUAGAUAUAUUUUUGUGUACAAUCUCAAGCAGAAAUCGGAGGCUUUUCCUAGGUUCAAGGAAUUCUGUGCUUGGUUGAAAAAUGUGCAUGGUAAGAAGAUAAAGACUCUUUUCAGUGAUCGCGGGGGGGAAUUCACUUCUCAGCAGUUUGAAGCUUUUCUGACUGAGAAAGGAAUUCAACACGAUUUGUCUAGUCCUCGCUCGCCAUGGCAGAAUGGACUUGCGGAACGGGCAAAUCAGACAUUGCUUCAAGGGUUAAAAACCUUGCUGCAUGAUGCCAAUCUUCCAGAGAGUUAUUGGGCCGAAUCUCUCUCGUGUUUUGUUUACAGUUACAAUCGCAGGUUAUCUUCAGCGACUGGUUGUACCCCCUAUGAGAAGAUGUUUGGCAAGAAGCCAUACAUCAAACACAUGAAGAAUUUUGGUUCUGACAUGUGGGUUCGCUCACCACAAAACUCCAAGUUAGACAAGCGUGGAUUGCAUGGUAUCUUUCUAGGUUAUCAGAAAGGGUCUUACAGAAUAAUGAUGACUGACUCUAAGACAAUUAAGCUCACGAGAAGUGUUGAGUACAAUGCAAAGUGGGGGGAGAAUGUGGGAAUUUUCCAAUGUUAUCCUGAUGACGGUGAUGAGACUGAGGAUAGGCAAAAGCAACCACAACAACCCACACCCACUGAUGAAGGUUCUGAGUCUGAAUCUGAAACUGAAUCGGGUGAUUCAGAGGAUUUCGAGAGUGCGAAAGCCUCUAUGCGACCCUCUGAAAGCUCUGAUCAAGAAUUAGAGGAACCAUUGUUCACAAUAGGUCGUUUUUCUCCUAAGAAGGAAGAGGAGAGUGUUGAAGACUUAAGGCUAAUUCGUAGGUCACAGAGAGCCACAAAAGGCAAACCUCCAAAGAGAUUUGCUGAUGAGUUUGCUAAGAUAGAAGUAACAGCUGUUAAAAGCUCCAAGAAGGUAUUUGAACCUUCAAGUUUCCAAGAAAUCCAGGGUUUGGAUUCAAAGGAAGCUGAGCCAUGGUUAAAUGCCAUGAAGGCUGAGCUUGAUUCCUUAGAAAGGAACAAAACAUGGGAGCUAGUUCCAGUAGUUCCAGGAAUGAAACUGCUUGGAAGCAAAUGGGUCUUCAAAGCGAAGACAGAUCAAAAUGGCAAGAUAGUCAGACACAAAGCCAGAUUGGUAGCCAGAGGUUUUGCACAGGUACCAGGUGAAGACUAUCACGAGACCUAUUCACCCACAGUGAGAUAUGAAAGCAUUAGGCUUAUGCUCAAGCUAGCUGCAGAGGAAAAUCUACACAUUAGUCACCAUGAUAUUAAUACAGCUUUUCUGUACGGAUCUCUAGAUGAAUCACUUUAUAUGCUUCCACCUGAUGGCGUACAGGUAAAACAGGGAUUUGUUUGUGCUCUGAAGAAAUCCCUUUAUGGUCUCAAACAAAGUGCACGGUGUUGGCACACAAAACUCACUGAAGUAUUGUUUUCUCUAGGUUUUCAGCAAGGGAAAGCUGAUCCAUGUGUAUUUGUCAAAGAGGAGGGGCAAAAGAAACUGUACUGCUUGUUUUAUGUUGAUGAUUUAUUAUUCUUUUGGAAAGAUGUUGCAAUGUACAAUAACGCCCUAGCUCAACUGAAAGAGCACUUUGACAUGAAAGAUCUUGGUGAGGUAAACAACUACCUAUCUCUGGAAAUAGAGAGAGAUCAAGAUGGUAACAUUCUAGUACACCAGUCACGAAAAAUUGCUGAUGUGUUAAGCAAACUAAAUCUGAUGGAUGCUAACCCUGUAGACACACCGAUGACAACAGGUUAUCAGGUAGAUGACACUGAAGAAGCAUUUUCUGACACUACACUGUACAGGAGUGUGCUAGGCAAGCUAAACUUCAUUGCCAGAUGUUCAAGACCAGACAUUGCUGUUAGCUGUAAUUUGCUAAGCAGACAAGUCAACAAUCCUAGUGUCAAGGAUUGGAAAGCUCUGAAACGCAUAGCGCGGUAUUUGAAAGGCACUAUGCAUUACAGACUGAGAUUUAACAAUCAGAAGUCUGGUGGUCUUGAGAUAUUUGCAGAUGCAAGUUUUGGAAGUGACACUACAGACAGGAAAAGUACGUCUGGAGUUUGCUAUAUGUACAAUCAGAGUCUGUUUGAUUGGUCAUGCAAAAAGCAAACAACAGUUAGCUUAAGUACUUGUGAAGCUGAACUGAAUGCACUGUCUUAUUCACUUAAGGAUUGUGAAUGGUUAGUACAAUUGUGCAAAGAUAUGAAAAUUCCUGUCAAAUGUCCAAUCCAGGUUUACCAGGACAACAAAGCAUGUUUGGCUUUGCUCAAGUCUGAAGGUUGUAAGCAAAGCACAAAGCACUUGCAAUUAAAGUUGCAGCAUGCUAGGGAAUGUAUUCAGAAGGGACUCGUAACGGUGUCCUAUAUGCCAGGUAAUGAAAUUCCUGCUGAUGUAUUAUCCAAGAUUGUAUCGAGGGAUCAACACUGUACCUAUGUGCAGAAGUUGGGUUUGUACUGAUAUUGUGCAAACACGCUGCCCAGUGAUGUUCACAGAAAGGGGAGGAUGUUGGUUUCUGCUUUCCUUCACUGUGCAGCUUUGCUUGUCAUGAGACAGGUAUUUACAUUCCACAGUCUGUACUGUUGGAGUUUCUCACGGGAAAGGGAGACUGGAUGUGACGUACACUGGUUUCCUGUUUUUUUCACUGUUGUUGAUUCUCUCCGUGCUGUUGAGGAGAGAGGAUGCAUUUUCUGCUCCGGCAGAGAGGCAAGAUGUCUUUCUGUAAUAUACCAGCUUUGAACUGUAAAUAAAGCAAUUUAGAGUAUGUACCACAUUUUCCUCAUCCUUCCGCUGGGCACGACAGACUCUGCUUUAAAUCAACAUUAUAUGACCUUAUAUGACCAACUGACCUUAUACAUCUUACUUAAUUUGACUGGUGUUAUAUACCAUCGAUAUAUCAUUUUCAUAACAUUUUCUUUAAUUGUGGUGCAUGCUGUAAAUCUCAUCCCUUCCUUCCAUAAUUUUAUCCAAUCAUCAAAUUGAAUGUUAUGUCCAAAAUCUUUGGCCCAUUGAAUCAUAACUGAUUUAACCUCUUCAUCCUUCAAAUGCCAUUCGAAUAAUAAUUUAUACAUCAUAGAUAA